UGAAGCUAUAAAGUUACCUCUUUACUAAAUAAUUAUCUCUAAAAUCUCUGUUUGGCAAAAUUCUUUAUUUAUUUUUAUUUAUUUAUUUAUUUUGAAAUGGAGUUUUGCUCUUGUUCCCCAGGCUGGAGUGCAAUGGUGUGAUCUCGGCUCACACAACCUCCACCUCCCAGGUUCAGGCAAUUUUCCUGCCUCACAGCCUGCCGAAUAGCUGAGAUUACAGAUGGUAUUGACAUGGAAGGCAUCUGUGGCACAGGCCAGCGGAGAGAUGGUUGGCUUCCUCUUAGAGUAAACGGAUGUGGAAAAAAGAUCUAAGGAUGCCAUGAGGAAUUCCAUGUGUGCAAGCAUGUCAUGGUACGCAAAUGAACACAAGUGUGAACCCAGAAAAUCUGAGACAGAUCUCAACAAUUUGGAAAGUUUAUUUUGCCAAGGUCGAGGAUGCACCUGUGACACAGCCUCAGGAAGCCCCGACAACAUGUGCCCAAGGUGGUCCAGCACAGUUUAGUUUUAUAGAUUUUAGGGACAUGUGAGGCAUCAAUCAAUAUGUGUAAGAAGUACAUUGGUUUGGUCUGGAAAGGCGGGACAACUUGAAGCAAAGGCAGGAAGACUUGAAGCAGAGAGGAAGUUCCAGGUCACAAAUAGGUGAGAGACAAAUGGUUGUAUUCUUUUGAGUUCUGAUUAGCCUUUCCAAAGGAGGCAAUCAGAUAUGCAUCUGUAUCAACAGCAGAGGGGUGACUUUGAAUAGAAGAGGAGGCACGUUUGCCCUCUGCAGUUCCCAGCUUGACUUUUCCCUUUAGCUUAGUGACUUGGGGGGGCCCCAAGAUUUACUUUCCUUUCACACAAGCAUGAUGCAUUACAGGAUUACACCCUUUUAGGUAUGAUCCUAGUGAGAGCAUUACCUAAAACAAGGAAGAUAUCAUUGUGUCCCAAAUGACAUUGUCACAUUCACCUCCAAACUAGGUCUUCCACCUUAUUCCUAGGUAUUUCCUGCUUGUUCCUAAACCUUGGCUUUUGCUCUCCUUUCUCCUUCCACUUGUAAAUCAUAUCAGCUGGUAUUUCAUGCAGAUUUUUUUUUUUUUUUUGAGACAGAGUCUUGCUCUGUCACCAGGCUAGAGUGCAGUGGCGGGAUCUCGGUUCACUGAAACCUCUGCCUCCUGGGUUCAAGCAAUUCACCUGCCUCAGCCUCCUGAGUAGCUGGGACUACAGGUGCAUGCCACCAUGACCAGCUAAUUUUUGUAUUUUUAGUAGAAACAGGAUUUCACCACGUUGGCCAGGUCGGUCUCUAUCUCUUGACCUUGUGAUCAGCCUGCCUUGACCUCCCAAAGCUCUGGGAUUACAGGUGUGUGCCACCCUGCCCAGUCUCAUACAGAUUUUAAUUCAGCAAACUUUUCCCCAAUAUUCAGUGGGUGGUCUACUUGUGGGUACAAAGGCCCAGACCCAUUGUUUCUAUUGGAGACCUGUGAAGGGCGAUCCCAACCUCAGACCCUCACAUGGCAUUGACUCAG
rnacentral:lncRNA from 13 species